UACGUAGGGUGCAAGCGUUGUCCGGAAUUAUUGGGCGUAAAGAGCUCGUAGGCGGUCUGUCGCGUCUGCUGUGAAACUCAGGGCUUAACCCUGAGCUUGCAGUGGGUACGGGCAGACUAGAGUGCGGUAGGGGAGACUGGAAUUCCGGGGUGUAGCGGUGGAAUGCGUAGAGAUCCGGAAGAACACCGGAGGCGAAGGCGGCUUGCUGGCCCGG
rnacentral:rRNA from 1 species